CCAUCAUAACUAAAUUAUUUUAAAAAAUAAAUAAAUAAAUAAUUUGGGAUAUCAGAAAAUUUGCAAAUAAGAAGCUGUAAUAACAGUUGUCACCUAUCUCUUGUUUCAGAUUUCUGGAUCUGUGAUAACCUCGUUAAAAGUUUCCUUGGCUCGUCAGCAAUACCUACAACUCUUGGAUACGGCUAAUUAUUUACUCACAGCUGACUAUCGUCCGUCCCCGUCUCUGAUCACAGCCCCAAACAUCAGCUCAAAGUUGGACAACAUCGAAGAAGAGAGAUCAGCGUUAUCCACUUUGGAAUUAGAUCCAUCUUUGAGGCAUCGAAUGUUGAGUCAUCUCACCGUAAAUCAUGUUGAUAGUGCCAAUAAACAGUUUUUAACCUUGAAUGUUGCAUUUGAUCUCCCAGUUUUUUCAAUGGAAUUGAAGGCUGAUCUAGGUUCUGGAGAGCAAGGGCUUGUCGACCUCUCUUUUCAAAAUCUUUCAGUUUCUUAUGAUCGCUCUCUCCCACAUGAAACUAACCUUCAGGUUUCUUUAAGGUCCUUUGUUAUGGAAGAUUUAUCUCAGGAACAGGAUUCAAAACACAGAUUCAUAGUUCAGUCUCUCAAUUCAUCUCAAUCAAGGAGCCUUGAAAUCCCAAGUUGUACGUAUUUAUCAACGUCUUGUCCAAAUCUUUUACCUCAUCAACUCUCCAAGAUGCAGACGCAAACAUUUUGUGGCUCCUUGCCCGACCAUCUCCACACUGAAAUGAUCCUCGGUGCCCCAAGGCAGUCAACCCUUCCAACAGGUCUGUUUCUUGUUGUUUCGUCAAGUAUGUAGUAUUUCACUAAACUGCAACAUGUAAUGUCCUGUUUUUCUUGUUUAUCUGUGCUGUGUAAUUUUCAAUCUAGCGACUAAUCUGAAAAGUUUCUUGUAAUUUUUGUGCAUAAU
rnacentral:lncRNA from 1 species